CCAAGUGACUAAGCGCACACGGUGGAUGCCUUGGCGGCAGAAGGCGAUGAAGGACGUGGAAGUCUGCGAAAAGCCUCGGGGAGCUGACAAACAAGCUUUGAUCCGGGGAUGUCCGAAUGGGGAAACCCACCGCUUCGGCGGUAUCGCUACCUGAAUAUAUAGGGUAGCGAGGCGAACCCGGAGAACUGAAAUAUCUAAGUACCCGGAGGAAAAGAAAUCAAUUGAGACUCCCUCAGUAGCGACGAGCGAACGGGGACCAGCCGAUUGGUGAGAAGAUAGUGGAACAGAAUGGAAAGUCUGGCCAUAGUGGGUGAUAGCCCCGUACACGAAAUUAUCUCAUCAACAUAUUAAGUAGGGCGGAGCACGUGAAACUCUGUUUGAAGAUAGGGGGACCAUCCUCUAAGGCUAAGUACUCUCUGCCGACCGAUAGUGAACCAGUACCGUGAGGGAAAGGCGAAAAGAACCCCGGAGAGGGGAGUGAAAUAGAUCCUGAAACCGUGUGCGUACAAGCAGUCAGAGCCUAUCUUCGGAUGGGUGAUGGCGUACCUUUUGUAUAAUGGGUCAGCGACUUACUUUUUGUAGCAAGCUUAACCGCGUAGGGUAGGCGAAGGGAAACCGAGUCUUAAUAGGGCGUAUAGUUGCAAGGAGUAGACCCGAAACCGGGUGAUCUAGCCAUGAGCAGGGUGAAAGUGCAGUAACAUGCACCGGAGGCCCGAACCCACUUAUGUUGAAAAAUGAGGGGAUGACUUGUGGUUAGGAGUGAAAGGCUAAACAAACCCGGAGAUAGCUGGUUCUCCUCGAAAGCUAUUUAGGUAGCGCCUCGUGUAUUGCCCUUGGGGGUAGAGCACUGUUAUGGCUAGGGGGUCAUACCGACUUACCAAACCAUGGCAAACUCCGAAUACCAAGGAGCAUGAGCACGGGAGACACACGGCGGGUGCUAACGUCCGUCGUGGAAAGGGAAACAACCCAGACCACCAGCUAAGGUCCCUAAAUUACUACUAAGUGGGAAACGAUGUGGAAAGGCCCAGACAGCCAGGAGGUUGGCUUAGAAGCAGCCACCCUUUAAAGAAAGCGUAAUAGCUCACUGGUCGAGUCGGUCUGCGCGGAAGAUUUAACGGGGCUAAAGUAGUAUACCGAAGCUGUGGAAUCGUAAAUUCUUCGGAAUUUGCGGUUGGUAGAGGAGCGUUCUGUAGGCCUGUGAAGGUGAACCGGGAGGUUCGCUGGAGGUAUCAGAAGUGCGAAUGCUGACAUGAGUAACGAUAAAGGGAGUGAAAAACUCCCUCGCCGAAAACCCAAGGUUUCCUAGCGCAACGUUAAUCGGCGCAGGGUGAGUCGGCCCCUAAGGCGAGGCAGAAAUGCGUAGUCGAUGGGAAGCAGGUUAAUAUUCCUGCACCUUUUGUUACUGCGAUGGAGGGACGGAGAAGGCUAAUUACGCCUGGUGUUGGUUAUCCAGGUUCAAGCAUGUAGGGAGUGAUCUUAGGUAAAUCCGGGAUCACAUAUAUCCUGAGGUGUGAUGAGGGGUCUCAACAUAGAGACGAAGGUGAUGAUGCCAUGCUUCCAGGAAAAUCUUCUAAGCAUAGGUAACAAAGGACCGUACCGUAAACCGACACAGGUGGGUGGGUAGAGAAUACCAAGGCGCUUGAGAGAACUCGGGUGAAGGAACUAGGCAAAAUGGUACCGUAACUUCGGGAGAAGGUACGCCAUUGCCGGUGAUGAGGCUUGCCCUCUGAGCUGGCGAUGGCCGCAGAAGCCAGGCCGCUGCGACUGUUUAUUAAAAACACAGCACUCUGCAAACACGUAAGUGGACGUAUAGGGUGUGACGCCUGCCCGGUGCCGGAAGGUUAAUUGAUGGGGUUAGACUUAGGUCGAAGCUCUUGAUCGAAGCCCCGGUAAACGGCGGCCGUAACUAUAACGGUCCUAAGGUAGCGAAAUUCCUUGUCGGGUAAGUUCCGACCUGCACGAAUGGCGUAACGAUGGCGGCGCUGUCUCCACCCGAGACUCAGUGAAAUUGAAAUCGCUGUUAAGAUGCAGUGUACCCGCGGCUAGACGGAAAGACCCCGUGCACCUUUACUACAGCUUCACACUGAACUUUGACUAUCUUUGUGUAGGAUAGGUGGGAGACUUUGAAGCCAGGGCGUCAGUUCUGGUGGAGUCAACCUUGAAAUACCACCCUGACAUAGUUGAAGUUCUAACCCAGGUCCGUUAUCCGGAUCGGGAACAGUGUGUGGUGGGUAGUUUGACUGGGGCGGUCUCCUCCCAAAGAGUAACGGAGGAGCACGAAGGUGGGCUAAUCACGGUCGGACAUCGUGAGAUUAGUGCAAUGGCAUAAGCCCGCUUGACUGCGAGAUCGACGGAUCGAGCAGGUACGAAAGUAGGUCAUAGUGAUCCGGUGGUUCUGUAUGGAAGGGCCAUCGCUCAACGGAUAAAAGGUACGCCGGGGAUAACAGGCUGAUACCGCCCAAGAGUUCAUAUCGACGGCGGUGUUUGGCACCUCGAUGUCGGCUCAUCACAUCCUGGGGCUGUAGCCGGUCCCAAGGGUAUGGCUGUUCGCCAUUUAAAGUGGUACGCGAGCUGGGUUUAGAACGUCGUGAGACAGUUCGGUCCCUAUCUGCCGUGGGCGUUAGAGAUUUGAGGGAAGCUGCUUCUAGUACGAGAGGACCGAAGUGGACGAACCUCUGGUGUUCCGGUUGUCACGCCAGUGGCAUUGCCGGGUAGCUAAGUUCGGAAGGGAUAACCGCUGAAAGCAUCUAAGCGGGAAGCCUCUCCCAAGAUUAGAUCUCUCAACACUUGAUGUUGUAAGGACCCUUGUAGACUACGAGGUUGAUAGGCUGGGUGUGGAAGCACAGUAAUGUGUGAAGCUAACCAGUACUAAUUGUCCGAGAGACUUGGUCAU
rnacentral:rRNA from 1 species